rnacentral:rRNA from 1 species
CAAUAGCGGAGGAAAAGAACCAACAGGGAUUGCCUUAGUAACGGCGAGUGAAGCGGCAACAGCUCAAAUUUGAAAUCUGGCUCCCUUGGGGGCCCGAGUUGUAAUUUGUAGAGGAUGCUUCGGCGUGGGCCCCGGUCUAAGUUCCUUGGAACAGGACGUCACAGAGGGUGAGAAUCCCGUACGUGGCCGUGGGUGCUCGCCAUGUGAAGCUCCUUCGACGAGUCGAGUUGUUUGGGAAUGCAGCUCUAAAUGGGAGGUAAAUUUCUUCUAAAGCUAAAUACUGGCCAGAGACCGAUAGCGCACAAGUAGAGUGAUCGAAAGAUGAAAAGCACUUUGGAAAGAGAGUCAAAAAGUACGUGAAAUUGUUGAAAGGGAAGCGCUUGCAACCAGACCUGCCUGCGGUUGCUCAUCCGGGCUCUUGCCCGGUGCACUCUUCCGCAGUCAGGCCAGCAUCAGCUCUGGCGGUCGGAUAAAGGCGGCGGGAAUGUGGCUCCCCUCGGGGAGUGUUAUAGCCCGCCGUGCAAUGCGGCCAGCCGGGACUGAGGUCCGCGCUUCGGCUAGGAUGCUGGCGUAAUGGUUGUAAGCGGCCCGUCUUGAAACACGGACCAAGGAGUCUAACAUCUGUGCGAGUGUUUGGGUGUCAAGCCCAGGCGCGUAAUGAAAGUGAACGGAGGCGGGAACCUUCGGGUGCACCGUCGACCGAUCCUGAUGUCUUCGGAUGGAUUUGAGUAAGAGCAUAGCUGUUGGGACCCGAAAGAUGGUGAACUAUGCCUGAAUAGGGUGAAGCCAGAGGAAACUCUGGUGGAGGCUCGCAGCGGUUCUGACGUGCAAAUCGAUCGUCAAAUUUGGGCAUAGGGGCGAAAGACUAAUCGAACUAUCUAGUAGCUGGUUCUGCGA